rnacentral:rRNA from 1 species
GACGAACGCUGGCGGCGUGCUUAACACAUGCAAGUCGAACGGAAAGGCCCUGCUUUCGUGGGGUGCUCGAGUGGCGAACGGGUGAGUAACACGUGAGUAACCUGCCCUUGACUUUGGGAUAACUUCAGGAAACUGGGGCUAAUACCGGAUAGGAGCUCCUGCUGCAUGGUGGGGGUUGGAAAGUUUCGGCGGUUGGGGAUGGACUCGCGGCUUAUCAGCUUGUUGGUGGGGUAGUGGCUUACCAAGGCUUUGACGGGUAGCCGGCCUGAGAGGGUGACCGGCCACAUUGGGACUGAGAUACGGCCCAGCCUCCUACGGGAGGCAGCAGUGGGGAAUAUUGCACAAUGGGCGGAAGCCUGAUGCAGCAACGCCGCGUGCGGGAUGACGGCCUUCGGGUUGUAAACCGCUUUCGCCUGUGACGAAGCGUGAGUGACGGUAAUGGGUAAAGAAGCACCGGCUAACUACGUG